rnacentral:lncRNA from 1 species
AGGUGUUGAUGGAAGAUUGAGCUUUUGAUUGGCGCUCUUCUAUUAGAUUAAGGCUGUUUAUAUUUAUUUGGGCAAUAGUUAUUUGGUGUAAUGGUGGUUUAAAAAUUUGGAAUUUAAAGAUGGAAAAGAGGGGUGAAUGUGAAUUGACUUCAUUGGGGGAAGAUGUUUGCUUCCCAUGGGAGACAAUGAAUUUCUUUCAACAAUUUUUCCAUUGCAUGGUGCCAAUCUACAGUAGUGAAAAUAGAUUCCAACAUUAAAAAAAAUACGAAAAACCUUUGUUUUCUUGAAAGAACCUAAUCGAGUUAUUUUUUAAUUAGCAAGGAGGUAUUAUAUGUUUUCCUCUAUUAACUUUCUU